GCAGCCACUCACACUCCAAGAACGUACAGAACACCCGCAGGCGUGGCUACCUCGUGCCAAAUACUUCAUUUCUGACGGAGCAAAGGACAACUUGGUAAGACGCAAGUCCCAAGCAAACAAACCAGAAAAAAAAGGACACCCGUAAAAGAAGCAAUGAAACUCCAAUGAUAAUUACCACAAAGCAAUGGCGAACUGCAACAUUAUAAGAAAAAGCAAACUGUCACUGUUUCCCUACUUCUACGGCUGGAUGGGAUUUGGAAACACCGUGUUCACCCUUCUAAGACUUGCUUUUCCCCUGAGCCACUCUCUGAGGAGCCGCCCACCUCCCCUGCUACCUUCUCCAAGGGGCUGACGCGUUCAUAGUGCAGGGCAGCAGAAUUUGCCUCCCCAAAUACGUCUCUUGGGCAUGUUAAUUAUUUUAAGCUGGUUAUUUUCUAAGAAACAGCAGGCAUGGGAAAACUCUGAAAACCAAGUAGGAGUUCCCCUUUUGUGAGGAACAUUUACAUUUGUAAGGGAAUCGCCCUGUGUGAGGGUGUCUCCCAGAUCUCUAGACGCGAUAGGCAGGCAAGCCCUUCAGCCUGUGUAACAACCUUGCCCUGGUUUACUGUGCUUUUCCUGCCCCCACCCCCACCCCGCCCCCACAGGCUCCCCAUCCUCGACCCCCUCCAGGAUGGUACUGGAGGUGAGGGCUUCCUCCGUUUUGACCAGCCGGACGAACCUGGAAGGUAGCGGAAAAUUUCCUCCUCCCCAACAACAGUCUUGGCCCCGCAGCCCCCGAUGCUUCAUUUCAUGUCUCCCCACCAAGGAAACACGCCUUUGACGCCACGUCGUAGACUUGCUUGGUCUCAAGACUCGGCCACGGCCACGGACAUGUGAAGGAAGGUCAUGGUGUGGUGGUAACCUCAAGGACCACCUGAACCUGCCCGAGAACUGCCUGAUGCCAGCCUUGAUGAUCUCAAAGUUUCCUGAGGCAAAGAAGAAUGCAAGAUUGCAUCUGCCCUCAUCCCCAUCUGCAGCCAUGCUUUUCACUCCUGAACUGUAAGACCCCUUCCUGUUCCCUCCAGAAGGAGACGCAGUCUUGAGCGUGUUAGUCCUCUGUGGCCCCCUUUUCCUGGCAAAGCAAUAAAGGCUACUCUUUUCUACUUC